rnacentral:rRNA from 1 species
UACGGAGGGUGCAAGCGUUGUCCGGAAUCACUGGGCGUAAAGGGCGCGUAGGCGGCUCAUGAAGGCUGUGGUGAAAGUCCGGGGCUCAACCUCGGAUCGGCCGUGGCGACUCGUGGGCUGGAGCACUGUAGAGGCGGGUGGAAUUCCGGGUGUAGCGGUGGAAUGCGUAGAGAUCCGGAAGAACACCUGUGGCGAAAGCGGCUCACUGGACCAUAACUGACGCUGAUGCACGAAAGCUGGGGGAGCAAACAGG